rnacentral:rRNA from 1 species
GAAACUCGGAUUAACCCUUCAUAAUAUAAUUGGAUGGCAUCAUUUGAUUAUUAAAUCUACGGAGGUAAAGGAUGGGCAUGCGUCUGAUUAGUUAGUUGGCGGUGUAACGGACCACCAAGACGAUGAUCAGUAGGGGAACUGAGAGGUUGAUCCCCCACACUGGCACUGAGAUACGGGCCAGACUCCUACGGGAGGCAGCAGUAGGGAAUAUUGG